rnacentral:lncRNA from 1 species
CCAACCUUUAGUUUGAGUCCCACACGUACCGAUCGAGGCACCAUGCGUAGUCGUAGAUCUAUCCAUGCAUGAGGCCGUUGAGUCAUUUUCACUGUUAUUAGAGUUGGAUGUUACGUGAUAGAUAUGGAGCGUGGUCAAUUAUUAAGUAACAUGCAUUUGGGAUCAAACAAACUCACGUGCACGUGCUUUCUCUAUCAAAUUAUUCAAACAUGAUGAAUAUAUAUAUACAGAAAAUUUCCAAUGCGGACUGACCGUUGUAACGGACAGUUUCUCGACGAUGGCCGGAUCUACAUCCGACGGUCCUUAAUGAUAUGACGCGAUUAUAUGGCCGGAUCUCACUAGACGCGAUUUCCAUUCCGAGGAACGCGAUCGGAACCCAUCGAUUUCCAGGAACGCAACUGCGAUCGGAACGCGAUCGGAACUGCGAUCGGAACGCGAUCGGAACGCGAUCGGAACUGCGAUCGGAACGCGAUCGGAACCCAUCGCCGAACGAUUCAGUGAUUCAGUGAACCCAUCGCCGAACGAUUCAGUGACUCAGUGAACCCAUCGCCGAACGAUUCAGUGAUUCAGUGAACCCAUCGCCGAACGAUUCAGUGAUUCAGUGAACGCCAGAACGAUUCAGUGAACCCAUCGCCGAACGAUCGCAGUUCCCCCCAUGUGACGUAAACAGUCCGAGGAACGCGAUCGGAACCCAUCGAUUUCUAGGAACCCAACUGCGAUCGGAACGCGAUCGGAACGCGAUCGGAACCCAUCGCCGAACGAUUCAGUGAUUCAGUGAACCCAUCGCCGAACGAUUCAGUGAUUCAGUGAACCCAUCGGAACGCGAUCGGAACCCAUCGCCGAACGAUUCAGUGAUUCAGUGAACGCCAGAACGAUUCAGUGAACCCAUCGCCGAACGAUCGCAGUUCCCCCAUGUGACGUAAACAGUCCGCAAGACGGACCGUUUCAAAGAGAGUCCGUCCCAGAAACGCGUCCUAUAUAUAUAUAUAUAUAGGAGAAUUAAUUAAUUAAUUCAAAAAUGGGCAGAAUCAAAUUAAUAACAGUACGUACAGUAAGUGGACGUUAUUCAGUGAACGCCAGAACGAUUCAGUGAACCCAUCGCCGAACGAUCGCAGUUCCCCCAUGUGACGUAAACAGUCCGCAAGACGGACCGUUUCAAAGAGAGUCCGUCCCAGAAACGCGUCCUAUAUAU